rnacentral:pre_miRNA from 1 species
CACAUAGCUCCUCCGUCCAACAAAAGAUGUUUUAAGUUUGCUAAAAUUUGAAUGUAUCUAGACAUGACUUAAUAUAUAUAGAUGUAUUCAAAUUUAGUCAAAAUUUAGACAUCUUUUAUUGGAUGGAGAAAUAGCAU